rnacentral:rRNA from 1 species
GCUCUAAUUUCAUCCUUACUACUUUCUCUCAUAAAAUCAUUAUAUUCUUUUACUUGUGUAUUAAACCACCUUUUACGUAACGCAUGUGAUGUAUUUUAAACGUUUUAUAGUCGAUCUUAAUUCUUGUACCUUUUGCAUCAUGGCUUUACUAUUUUUAUGUAUUUUCAUAUUCCCGAAUUAUUAACGAGCUAGAUUAAAUUUGAUUCAGUUCUCAUAGUAAUUUAUUGAAAUAAAUUCUAAAAAAUUCGAUUCUCUAGAGGCUACAUACCUUUCGCGUAAUAAUAGCUGGUUGCUCAAUUUUUCUAUUUAAGUAGAUUUUCCAGGUUUCCCUCUUUCAAAAUCCUCAUAUCUGGUUUAUAGUUUUAGAAGGAUAAGCUUUUAAAAUGACCCUAUCUUUAUUUAAUUUUAUUUUAAAUCAGGCCUGAAAUUAGCCUAUUAUCAUGAAUUGUUAUAUUUCUUUUCUUUAAAAAAAUAAAAUUAUACUUUGAUGCUUAAUUGUCGAGCUUAGUUAACUAAUUAUUAUUAUUUCUUUUUAUUCUGUAAAGAUGAGUAUCAACUCUUUUUCUUUAAAACUUUAUUUUUAUUGCUAAAGAAGACUUACGGCAUAGUCUUGACGAAGGAACUCGGCAACUCUUAAGUUCGACUGUUUAUCAAAAACAUUGCCUCUUGACUACACAUCAUAAGAGGUUCAUCCUGCCCAGUGAAUUUUUAACGGCCGCGGUAUCCUGACCGUGCGAAGGUAGCAUAAUCACUUGCCUUUUAAUUGAAGGCUCGUAUGAACGGACAAACGAAACUUGCUCUGUCUCCUCAGACCCAUUCGAAAUUAGUUUUCAGGUGAAGAAACCUGAAUCUAUUAAAAAGACAAGAAGACCCUAUUGAGUUUUACAAUUUCUGUAUUUUUACUUUAAUUGUUUGGUUGGGGCGACCAGGGAACUCUAUUCUCUUCCCUAUCCUACCCGAUUUAUAUUUCUCCAAUAUUGACCCUUUUUUGAUCAACUGAAUAAACUACCAUAGGGAUAACAGGCUUAUUUUCUCUGAGAGUUCAUAUUAACGAGAAAGUUUGGCACCUCGAUGUUGGCUUAGGGUAACUUCAAAAUGCAGCAGUUUUGACCGGUUAGUUUGUUCAACUAUUAAACCCCUACAUGAGCUGAGUUCAGACCGGCGCAAGCCAGGUUAGUUUCUAUCUUUUAAUUCCUAAAAUACUACAGUACGAAAGGACAAUAGUUUUUCCAAUAUUUGGAAUCUAAGAAACAAAAUAAAUUACCUAUAAAUAAUUAAUAACUU